AAGUCGUAACAAGGUUUCCGUAGGUGAACCUGCGGAAGGAUCAUUAAAGGUUUCCGUCGGCUCUUUUUUUAUUAGAGACCGGCGGCCAAAGAUCAACCACUGUGCGCAUAUAUUGAAAAUAUUUUUUGCUUUCGGUAGGUUUCCUUCAAAAUUUUAUUUUUGGAGGAGCCUGCCGAGAGUAUACCCCCCAAAACCAUCCUUAUUUUUUGACUGAAAAUUUUUAUUAAAUAAAAUUUAAUACAACUUUCAACAACGGAUCUCUUGGCUCUC
rnacentral:misc_RNA from 1 species